UACGAAGGGGGCUAGCGUUGUUCGGAAUCACUGGGCGUAAAGCGCACGCAGGCGGAUCGUUAAGUCAGGGGUGAAAUCCCGAGGCUCAACCUCGGAACUGCCUCUGAUACUGGCGAUCUUCGAGUCCGGGAGAGGUGAGUGGAACUCCGAGUGUAGAGGUGAAAUUCGUAGAUAUUCGGAAGAACACCAGUGGCGAAGGCGGCUCACUGGCCCGGUACUGACGCUCAGGCGCGAAAGCGUGGGGAGCAAA
rnacentral:rRNA from 1 species